rnacentral:rRNA from 1 species
UACGUAGGGUGCGAGCGUUGUCCGGAAUUACUGGGCGUAAAGGGCUCGUAGGCGGCCAACUAAGUCAUACGUGAAAUCCCCCGGCUUAACCGGGGAACUGCGUCUGAUACUGGAUGGCUUGAGUUCGGGAGAGGGAUGCGGAAUUCCAGGUGUAGCGGUGAAAUGCGUAGAUAUCUGGAGGAACACCGGUGGCGAAGGCGGCAUCCUGGACCGAUACUGACGCUGAGGAGCGAAAGCCAGGGGAGCAAACGGG